AGGGUUCGAUUCUGGCUCAGGAUGAACGCUGGCGGCGUGCUUAACACAUGCAAGUCGAACGGGAUCCAUCAGGCUUUGCUUGGUGGUGAGAGUGGCGAACGGGUGAGUAAUGCGUGACCGACCUGCCCCAUACACCGGAAUAGCUCCUGGAAACGGGUGGUAAUGCCGGAUGCUCCAGUUGAUCGCAUGGUCUUCUGGGAAAGCUUUCGCGGUAUGGGAUGGGGUCGCGUCCUAUCAGCUUGACGGCGGGGUAACGGCCCACCGUGGCUUCGACGGGUAGCCGGCCUGAGAGGGCGACCGGCCACAUUGGGACUGAGAUACGGCCCAGACUCCUACGGGAGGCAGCAGUGGGGAAUAUUGCACAAUGGGCGCAAGCCUGAUGCAGCGACGCCGCGUGAGGGAUGGAGGCCUUCGGGUUGUAAACCUCUUUUAUCGGGGAGCAAGCGAGAGUGAGUUUACCCGUUGAAUAAGCACCGGCUAACUACGUGCCAGCAGCCGCGGUAAUACGUAGGGUGCAAGCGUUAAUCGGAAUUACUGGGCGUAAAGCGUGCGCAGGCGGUUCUGUAAGACAGAUGUGAAAUCCCCGGGCUCAACCUGGGAAUUGCAUUUGUGACUGCAGGACUAGAGUUCAUCAGAGGGGGGUGGAAUUCCAAGUGUAGCAGUGAAAUGCGUAGAUAUUUGGAAGAACACCAAUGGCGAAGGCAGCCCCCUGGGAUGCGACUGACGCUCAUGCACGAAAGCGUGGGGAGCAAACAGGAUUAGAUACCCUGGUAGUCCACGCCCUAAACGAUGUCUACUGGUUGUUGGGGUUUUUUAACCUUGGUAACGAAGCUAACGCGUGAAGUAGACCGCCUGGGGAGUACGGUCGCAAGAUUAAAACUCAAAGGAAUUGACGGGGACCCGCACAAGCGGUGGAUGAUGUGGAUUAAUUCGAUGCAACGCGAAAAACCUUACCUAGCCUUGACAUGCCAGGAAUCCUGAAGAGAUUCGGGAGUGCCCGCAAGGGAAUCUGGACACAGGUGCUGCAUGGCUGUCGUCAGCUCGUGUCGUGAGAUGUUGGGUUAAGUCCCGCAACGAGCGCAACCCUCGCCCCGUGUUGCCAGCGGAUUAUGCCGGGAACUCACGGGGGACCGCCGGGGUUAACUCGGAGGAAGGUGGGGAUGACGUCAGAUCAUCAUGCCCCUUACGUCCAGGGCUUCACGCAUGCUACAAUGGCCGGUACAACGGGAUGCGACGCGGCGACGCGGAGCGGAUCCCUGAAAACCGGUCUCAGUUCGGAUCGCAGUCUGCAACUCGACUGCGUGAAGGCGGAGUCGCUAGUAAUCGCGAAUCAGCAACGUCGCGGUGAAUGCGUUCCCGGGCCUUGUACACACCGCCCGUCAAGUCAUGAAAGUGGGCAGCACCCGAAGCCGGUGGCCUAACCCCUUGUGGGAUGGAGCCGUCUAAGGUGAGGCUCGUGAUUGGGACUAAGUCGUAACAAGGUAGCCGUACCGGAAGGUGCGGCUG
rnacentral:rRNA from 1 species